UGAAACAGAUAACAGAAUUUA
rnacentral:piRNA from 1 species